rnacentral:rRNA from 1 species
AGAGUUUGAUCCUGGCUCAGGACGAACGCUGGCGGCGUGCUUAACACAUGCAAGUCGAACGCUCCUAGAGGUUGGAGAUUAGAGGUUAGAAGCUGGAUUUAAAGCCCGUGUUUCGGGCGGCGGGCUAAAAGGAAAGCCCGAGGUCUAAUUUCCGACUUCCAAUCUCCAACCUCCAGAAGAGAGUGGCGCACGGGUGAGUAACACGUGGGCAAUCUGCCCGGAAGACUGGGAUAACAGCGCGAAAGUGCUGCUAAUACCGGAUACCUUCACGAAGUCGCAUGACUUUGUGCAGAAAGUUUUUCGCUUCCGGAUGAGCCCGCGUCCCAUUAGCUAGUUGGUGAGGUAACGGCCCACCAAGGCGACGAUGGGUAGCUGGUCUGAGAGGACGAUCAGCCACACUGGAACUGAGACACGGUCCAGACUCCUACGGGAGGCAGCAGUGGGGAAUCUUGCGCAAUGGGCGAAAGCCUGACGCAGCAACGCCGCGUGAACGAUGAAGGCCUUCGGGUCGUAAAGUUCUGUCAAGGGGGACGAUAAUGACGGUACCCUUGGAGGAAGCCCCGGCUAACUACGUGCCAGCAGCCGCGGUAAUAC